GGGCUAAGCGGAACGAAAAGGGUUUUCCAUGAGAUGGUAAAUGAAAACGAUUAGCCCCAUACGAGGUUUGGGAAUAAGUGAUGAGCAAGGAAUAUACGUCUUUCUGCUAAAGAGGAUCUAUUAAACUCAUAAUUCAUUAGAUCCUUGUUAUCAAUGUCAACUAGGUAUCAUAAGUAAACGGAUCCCGGUUGUUCAAUCCUUUGAUAACCAAGGUCAUUCUUUGCUAAAGAGAAAUGAUCACUAUGAGUCAGACUCAAUAGAAUUGGAU
rnacentral:misc_RNA from 1 species